rnacentral:piRNA from 1 species
UUCAUCAUGAUGAAAUUUCGGAUCA